GUGCUUGCUUCAGCAGCACUUAUACUAAAAUGGGAACAUACAGAGAAGAUUAGCACGGCCCCCGCACAAGAAUGACACGCAGAUUUGUGAAGCGUACCAUAUUUAC
ensembl:snRNA U6 U6 spliceosomal RNA